rnacentral:misc_RNA from 1 species
GGUUAAUGUAAUUUAUAGCAAUAAGUAAAUAGUUAUUUAGUUUCUCCGCAUAAUUUUAAUCAUCCAUUAGAAUCUGAUGCCCUGAGUUGAACAAACAUGAUCCUUCUUGUCAAAGUACAUAAUUUGCAUAGGUCAAUUCACAUGCAAACGCUUCCCUAAAUUCUCCUAAAUGGUAACUGCUCAAGCUCUAUGGAUUCGAGUUUAUUC